CGUAGGGGCGAGCGUUGUCCGGAUUUAUUGGGCGUAAAAGGCUUGUAGGUGGCCACGUCAAGUCGGAUGUGAAAUCUCCCGGCUCAACUGGGAGGGGUCAUUCGAUACUGGCGGGCUCGAGGCCGGUAGGGGGAAGCGGAAUUCCCGGUGUAGUGGUGGAAUGCGUAGAUAUCGGGAGGAACACCAGUGGCGAAGGCGGCUUCCUGGACCGGUUCUGACACUGAGGAGCGAAAGCGUGGGGAGCGAUCCGGAUUAGAUACCCGGGUGGUCCACGCCGUAAACGUUGGGCACUAGAUGUCGGGGGUAUCGACCCCUCCGGUGUCGCAGCUAACGCAUUAAGUGCCCUGCCUGGGGAGUACGGCCGCAAGGCUA
rnacentral:rRNA from 1 species